rnacentral:rRNA from 1 species
GACGAACGCUGGCGGCGUGCUUAACACAUGCAAGUCGAACGGUGAUGCUCCAGCUUGCUGGAGUGGAUCAGUGGCGAACGGGUGAGUAACACGUGAGCAACCUGCCCCAGACUCUGGAAUAAGCGCUGGAAACGGCGUCUAAUACUGGAUACGAAACUGGCCCGCAUGGGCAUGGUUUGGAAAGUUUUUCGGUUUGGGAUGGGCUCGCGGCCUAUCAGCUUGUUGGUGGGGUAAUGGCUCACCAAGGCGAUGACGGGUAGCCGGCCUGAGAGGGCGACCGGCCACACUGGGACUCAGACACGGCCCAGACUCCUACGGGAGGCAGCAGUGGGGAAUAUUGCACAAUGGGCGAAAGCCUGAUGCAGCGACGCCGCGUGAGGGAUGACGGCCUUCGGGUUGUAAACCUCUUUCAGCAGGGAAGAAGCGAAAGUGACGGUACCUGCAGAAGAAGCACCGGCUAACUACGUG